AGUGAACGCUGGCGGUAGGCCUAACACAUGCAAGUCGAACGGCAGCACAGUAAGAGCUUGCUCUUACGGGUGGCGAGUGGCGGACGGGUGCGGAAUACCUCGGUAUCUACUUUUUCUUGGGUGCUAACGCAGGGAAACUUACGCUAAUACCGCAUACGACCUACGGGUGAAAGCAGGGGAUCUUCGGCCCUUGCGCGAGUGUAUGAGCCGAUGUCGGAUUAGCUAGUUGGCGGGGUAAAGGCCCACCAAGGCGACGAUCCGUAGCUGGUCUGAGAGGAUGAUCAGCCACACUGGAACUGAGACACGGUCCAGACUCCUACGGGAGGCAGCAGUGGGGAAUAUUGGACAAUGGGCGCAAGCCUGAUCCAGCCAUACCGCGUGGGUGAAGAAGGCCUUCGGGUUGUAAAGCCCUUUUGUUGGGAAAGAAAAGCAGCAGGUUAAUACCCCGCUGUUUUGACGGUACCCAAAGAAUAAGCACCGGCUAACUUCGUG
rnacentral:rRNA from 1 species